rnacentral:lncRNA from 1 species
CCCAGUGGCACAGCGGUUAAGUUCACACAUCCUGCUUUGGUGGCCUAGGGUUCGCUGAUUCAGAUCCCAGGUGUGGACCUGUGCACUACCUGUCAAGCCAUGCUGUGGCGGGCAUCCCACAUAUAAAGUAGAGGAAGAUGGGCAUGGAUGUUAGCUCAGGACCAGUCUUCCUCAGCAAAAAAGAUGAGGAUUGGUGACAGAUAUUAGCUCAGGGCUAAUCUUCCUCAAAAAAAACCCCCAAAUAUAUAUAUAUAUUUGUGUACAAUUAUACAUGUGAUUAAAUAUAAUGAAUUAGUUCUUAAUCCCUUCAUGUAUGAUCUGUGUGGAGGGAAGUGGGACUGGUGUCUGAUCUGUGCAAAGGCCCAUAGUUGCUGAUUUCAGAUUCCAGGCCUUAGGCUUCUGAGGUAGAAUAGUGGGAGGAAGGCGGGGAAUAAAUGGAUGAGCAUAAAUAUUCAGGAACAUGUGUAUCGAAAUACUGGAAAUAAUUUCUGCCUAGACAAUAAUGAUUCUUUUCCUUCUGUCUAAAAUAAAGUAGAAAAGUAGCUUGAUCUUUGUAUGAUACUGCUAACUUACAUUAUGUUUAGCGGUCAUGGCGUGCACAGUUUUAGAGGGCAAAAGCCAGUUUGUGAAUAGCUGAGUUUUUUUUAUUUUAUCUGUACCAAGAGCCCUGUAGGCAACAAAUACAUUUUCAACACAAAUAAUCUAGACUUCCAAUAUUGCGUUACCAACCAAAAUGUAGGAAAACAUGAGCAAACAUGUUAAUUACAAACAUUCAUUCUCCUCUGUUGCUUGAAAGUUAUUCACUGGCUUGAACAUUAUUUAUUUUCUCUAGAAAUUCAAUCCAUUUUCAAAACGCAUUGUUCUGGUUGAGAUAAUUACUCACUUACGCAUGAAAAGGAGAGAAGUCUACUGCAGUCUACUGAUGAAUUACCUGUUUCAGAGGGUGCGGUACAUAGGGUUAAAAUGCCUCAACAAAUAUGCUUCAGAUGCUAUCUGCUCCUGGAGACAAGAAAAUCAGAAGAAACUUCCGGUUUCCAGUUCUGCAUGUCAGCAGCUUGGAAGUUGCCAUUUCAUCCUACCAACAAGUGAAAAGCUGAAAAGACUGAAAAGUCAACAACUCUUCUUGGGUCUGAAAGUGAGAGGAGGACACAAGGCAAAGUGCUGCCCCAAGAUUGGAGAGAUGGACAGGCAAAUACAGAGAAUGACAACUCACUGGAACAGAGAUUCACGAGCGGAAACCACCAUGGGGACAGGGCUGGGGCAGGAGAACCCGCACUGUAAUUGACAAAUUGCUGGAGGCUCAGUGUGGACAAUUCAGAGUUAGAAACUCCAGAGGAUCCGAUCAUAGGGAGCCCCACAGUGUUGUGAGAUUUAUCUCUAGUCGCUGGACCAGGUUCGACCAGGAGCUCAACCACAGUGAGUAUCGGAGAAAAAUCCCCUCACAUCCAGCAGGGGGAGGGCAAAAGGAACCAUUUCUGGUUUUGAUUCUAGUUUAAUUCCAUUGUGGUAUGAAAGGAGAGUUUGUAUGAUUUCUGUUCUUUUAUAUUUGUUAAGGGGUGUUUUAUGGCGCAGAACAUAGUCUGUCUUGGUGGAUGUUCCAUGUGAGCUCGAGAAGAGUGUGUAUUCUGCCGUUGUUGGAUGAAAUAGUCUAUCCAGGUGACUGAUGAUCUUGUUGAAUCCAGCUGCUAUCCUUACUGAUUUUCUGCCUGCUGGAUCUGUCUGUUUCUUAGAGAGGGGUGUUGUGAUCUCCAGUUAUGACAGUGUAUCUCCUUGCCUUUCUGUCAGUUUUUGCCUCAUAGAGUUGAUGCUCCAUUGUUAGGCACAUACUCAUUAAGAUGUACUUCAGUAGGUGAAUGGAUAAACUGCGGUAUAUCCAGACAAUGGGAUAUUAUUCAGCACUAAAAAGUAAUGAGUUAUCAAGCUUAUGAAAAGACUUGGAGGAAUCUUAAAUGCAUAUUAGUAAGUAAAAUAAGCCAGUCUGAAAAUGCUACAUACUGUGUGACUCCAACUAUAUGACAUUCUGGAAAAGGGAAAACUAUGGAGACCGUAAAAAGAUUAGUGGUUGCCAAGGACUGGGGGGGAAGAAGGUGGGGAGGGAUGAGCAGGUAGAGGACAGAGAGUUGAGUUUUUAGGGCAGUGAAAGUACCCUGUGUGAUACCAUGAUGGUAGAUAUAUGUCAUUAUACAUUUGUCCAAACCCAUAGAACGUACCACACCAAGAGUGAUGCCUAAUGUAAACUAUGGACUCUGGCUUAUUUUGACGUGUCAGUGUGGGUUUGUCGGUUG